UGUAGGAGUGAGCCUGCUCGCGAUAGCGGUGUUUCAGGCGACAUCUCCAGUGACUGAAACACCGCCAUCGCGAGCAGGCUCACUCCUACA
rnacentral:antisense_RNA from 1 species